ACCGACGGGAGCUUGCUCCCUUAGGUCAGCGGCGGACGGGUGAGUAACACGUGGGUAACCUGCCUGUAAGACUGGGAUAACUCCGGGAAACCGGGGCUAAUACCGGAUGCUUGAUUGAACCGCAUGGUUCAAUCAUAAAAGGUGGCUUUUAGCUACCACUUGCAGAUGGACCCGCGGCGCAUUAGCUAGUUGGUGAGGUAACGGCUCACCAAGGCGACGAUGCGUAGCCGACCUGAGAGGGUGAUCGGCCACACUGGGACUGAGACACGGCCCAGACUCCUACGGGAGGCAGCAGUAGGGAAUCUUCCGCAAUGGACGAAAGUCUGACGGAGCAACGCCGCGUGAGUGAUGAAGGUUUUCGGAUCGUAAAACUCUGUUGUUAGGGAAGAACAAGUACCGUUCGAAUAGGGCGGUACCUUGACGGUACCUAACCAGAAAGCCACGGCUAACUACGUGCCAGCAGCCGCGGUAAUACGUAGGUGGCAAGCGUUGUCCGGAAUUAUUGGGCGUAAAGCGCGCGCAGGCGGUUUCUUAAGUCUGAUGUGAAAGCCCCCGGCUCAACCGGGGAGGGUCAUUGGAAACUGGGGAACUUGAGUGCAGAAGAGGAGAGUGGAAUUCCACGUGUAGCGGUGAAAUGCGUAGAGAUGUGGAGGAACACCAGUGGCGAAGGCGACUCUC
rnacentral:rRNA from 1 species